CUAUUAUAUGUGUUUCUAAACAAAUUUAGUUUAUUUAAAUAGUUUUUGAUAGUACAUUGCACCACCAGCUGUAUUAAUCCGACUACCUGUAAUGUUUGGCAUUCUCAUGACAUUUCAAACAAUGGAUUUAUUUUUAAUUUUAUGCGUCAUCUUCUGUGUAUAUAUAUUUUUUCCACAGAAUAUUUUUCAUAUCAUUUCAAGUUUUCCAUUUGUAAUUCGAAUUAUUCAAUUUAUAAUUCGAAUUAUUCCUUUAUAUUUUCUUGGACAAAUCUUUAAUUUUACACAGCUAUAUCUCAAGAACUAAAGGUGAGAAUGCAUAAAACGCUUUUUGAUACAAAUUAUUCGAAUAACAAUUGAAAUAAUUCGAAUUACCAAUGGAUUAAAUUGAAAUACAAAUGGAAUAAUUCGAAAUACAAAUUCAAUUGAAUUGCAAUUGAAAACAUUUGAGUUACAAAUGGAUUAAUUCGAAUUACAAAAGAAAUAAUUCGAAUUAUAAUGUUAUUUGUUGUUUCGAAUUACAUUUGAAAAACAACUUUGAACAUGUAAAAAAGGACUACAAUGCCAUCUCUAGUUGGAAGAUGUUAGGUGUGUCUGGUUACUUUUCCUGCAAGAAUUGUCCAGCGACUUCUUUCUUAGUAGCGUUCAAGAAUAAACAGUAUGGUACCGUAGUGUUCUGUACCGUUACGAGGUGGAGUGGUACACUAAGAUAAUGCACCGUACCGGAGCACAACCCUUAAAAAAAAAAUUAGUGAUACUGUACCGGAGCACAACGAAAAUUGUACUGUACCGCAGUCGGGGCACUAAAAAUGUAAUGUACCGCAGUCGGAGCACUACAAAAUCGUAGUGUACCACAUGGCGGAACAUUAAAAGAAUAAUGUACCGGUAGUGUACCACAUAUGUGUUUUACGAUUUGUGAGAAAAAUUAUGACUAAUACAAUUCAAUAUUAUGGAAAUGAAAGCUGAAUUCAUUUUAUUUGUCAUAUAUUUUUAUAUUGGUUGCGAAAUUAAAGAAAGCUGAAAAAUAUUUGAAAAGGCAGAAUCAAUAAAAAAGGACCAAAUCUGAAGUGAUAGUAAUUUGUAUUUAACCAUUAAAAAAGGAUAUUUUAGUGGUUGCAUUGUAAUGGGUUAUUGCGCAAAUAAUUUACCUGUUAUUUUGUCGUACCGAAAAAUCAAUAAAUGUAAAUGUAAAAACUAAACAUUUUGCAAAGUAUGGCUGAUUGCGGAACACUACGAUUUUUUAGUGUUCCGACUGCGGUACACUACGAUUUUUUAGCGCUCCUCGUUGUUUUCCGGUACAGUAUCACUAAAAUAUUUUUUAGUGGUAGUGUACCGGUACACUGCUUUUUUAGUGAUACUGUACCGGUACAGUACACUAUGUUUGUGUACUGUUUAUUUUCGAACGCUGUUUCUGAGAGAAGAAGGUAGUUUUCUUCUUGCUUGAAAACUGUGAAAAGUUAACAGAGGGAAUUCCUACAAAAACUUGCAAGCAAUCACCUGGUAUGUCACAACAAAAUCAGCUGGCAUGUCACAAAAAAUCAGAGAUUAAUCAUGCAGAAAUUAAAAUAAGACAAAAAACAAAACCAUUGCGCCUGCGACUUCCAAAAUAAAGAUGAUUUUAAAUUGCUUGUCCGAAUAGAAAUCACCUGCAGGAGAAGAAGAAGAGUUCCAAGUCAUUGCAAGAAGAAAUUUGUCUACUAAGAAUUUGCAAACUCUCAGUAUAUGAUCUGUCAAAAUUGUUGUCUCAAAUCGCUCUCUUUUGCAGAUUUUUUGUGUUAACAGACGAAAUCCAGUAACAAUUUGCCACAAUUGUUACAAAUUCUAGGUUAACCAGGCACACCUAUUUUGUAUUUGAUGAAUAUUUGUCAUUUUUAGUAGUUCUCAGUUUUCUUUCUUGGAGAAGCAGUAAUCUCAAUGUUAUUCGUUAGUUUACUAAAAUGAGCACGGAAACAUAACUCAUAUUAACCUUUGGCAGCGUAAUUUGUAUAUGUGGGUGGUAAGCGAUUUAUAAGGGAUUUAUUUAACUUAGGCGACAUACAUUUUAAAUACAUUCAUAAGUUUUCUUAAUUCAUUUGUUAUAAUAAUUUAAUUAAUUUGUAUUUUUUUUCGGAGUAAGUUGUGCACUAGAAUUUUAUGUUCCUGUUUCAUGAAGAUUUUGUAACAAGUUUUGUUGCUGAAUUAAAAAAAAUCCUGAACUAUGUUUUUAUUUUAUAUCUACUGUAUGUUUCUGUUUUAACCAAUAUAAUUGCAUUUUUACCGAAGAAAAAAAAAAAACAAAAACAGAAAGUAGCAAAUAAAUAUUUAAAACCUAUAUACCCACUUCUUACACGCACACACAUACACACAGUGAAUAAAUACAUAAUGAGGACUAUAUGUUUCAUAGCAUUUCUAGGUUUUAAACAUUAAAAUUUUCAAAUUAAGUUGUUAAAAGUGUCUAUAUAAUAAUGUAAACUCAUUUGAAAAAGAAUUUUACAUUAAUAAAUCGAAACGAUAUCAGAAAAUAGAAAGACGAUGUAAACAACUAAAAUAUUGAUCUUUAAGCUAUACAAUAAUUAAUAGAAGGUAACAACAACAAGCCACAAACAGUAAUAACAAAAAUUACAAUAUUUAAAUUAUUAAUCUUUAGUUGUAAUAAAUUGAACACAGUGCCUAAGUAAUCAAAAGAAAUGGAUGAACAUGACAUAAUUAACAAGACAAAUAUCUUUAAAGGACAUUGUUAAACAAUAUAUUACAUGCAACAAUAACGAAUCGGACAUGUGUUUAAAUUUAAAAUAAUAUAUACAUAAUUAUUAUUCGAUAAACAACUAAACAUAUAAAAAUGAAACCCAUUUGAAACAAACAUUUUUAUUCUCUCCCUGGCCAUAUGACUUAUUUCGUAUCAAAGCAACAGUAAUUAAAAGCUACCAAUUAUGGAUGUUUUAACAAAAAAAAUUCUUGAAAGAUUUUUUAAAAACUACGAAAAUUCCAUAAAAAUAAGUGUGUGUUACGUGUAUACUCUUCAGCAGAGUUUUGUUAAAUUUACUUAUAAGAACAUGAUUAGAAAUAACGAAACCUCCCAACAUAAUUUAAAUAUAUAAAUUGUAAUUAUCCAUUAUUAUAUACACUAUGACAACAAUAGUAUUAAUGUCGACGUAAUACAAACAUAAAGCAAAAACAUAUGACAGAAAAAGCAAAAGUGUUAGGUAAUGUGAAACAUACUCUAUCUCAAUAACAAAAUAACGUAGUGGACAAUUAAUCAUAAAUUAAUACAACAACAAAAAUAUGUAAACUUUAAUAAUAAAUACACAAAAAUUACUCAAUAAUUGUUUAUAAAGAGUUUUCAUAGUCCUGGGAACUUUAAAUGAAUAUUUUCAUAGAGAAAAGAAAUAACAAAUUAAUGAAAGUUCCUGCAAAAUGGAGACAAGAAUCUACUAAUUUUGCAUUUCAUAAAGGGAAACUCGGUUGAAGUAGCACAAAGUUUUACAAUAUUGCAGUUCUGGAACAAACCGUUUGUGGUGCGCAUGGAAUUGAAAGAUUGAAUAGUUUGGAUCAUAUUUUUGAAAGAAAAUUCGGGCAUUUCGUUUACCUUUCCGGCUGUUUAACUUUAAAAAUGAAUUAAAUUUUAAAAAUAAGAAAAAAUAUCAAAUUUAUGGAAGCAAA